rnacentral:rRNA from 1 species
UACGGGGGGGGCAAGCGUUGUUCGGAAUUACUGGGCGUAAAGGGCUCGUAGGUGGCCAACUAAGUCAGACGUGAAAUCCCUCGGCUUAACCGGGGAACUGCGUCUGAUACUGGAUGGCUUGAGUUUGGGAGAGGGAUGCGGAAUUCCAGGUGUAGCGGUGAAAUGCGUAGAUAUUGGGAGGAACACCAGUGGCGAAGGCGGCUCACUGGACCGGAACUGACGCUGAGGCGCGAAAGCGUGGGUAGCAAACAGG